rnacentral:rRNA from 1 species
GCUCUUUUAGAGAAUCAGGUGUCCAGGUGCUGCAUGGUUGUCGUCAGCUCGUGUCGUGAGAUGUUGGGUUAAGUCCCGCAACGAGCGCAACCCCUGUUGUUAGUUGCCAGCGAUUCGGUCGGGCACUCUAACGAGACUGCCGGUGGUAAGCCGGAGGAAGGUGGGGAUGGCGUCAAAUCCUCAUGGCCCUUAUGCCCAGGGCUACACACGUCAUACAAUGGUCGGUACAGAGGGUUGCCAACCCGCGAGGGGGAGCUAAUCCCACAAAGCCGAUCGUAGUCCGGAUCGCAGUCUGCAACUCGACUGCGUGAAGUCGGAAUCGCUAGUAAUCGUGGAUCAGCAUGUCACGGUGAAUACGUUCCCGGGUCUU